UACAGAGGCCCCAAGCGUUACUGAGAAUCACUGGGUUUAAAGGGUGCGUAGGUGGUCCGUUAAGUUCGUUGUGAAAUCCCUGGGCUCAACCCAGGAAAUGCUUCGAAUACUGGCGGACUUGAGGCUAGUAGGGGUCACUGGAACUGACGGUGGAGCGGUGAAAUGCGUAGAUAUCGUCAGGAACGCCAAUGGUGAAGACAGGUGACUGGGCUAGUUCUGACACUGAGGCACGAAAGCGUGGGGAUCAAACGGGAUUGAGA
rnacentral:rRNA from 1 species